CGCGCCAUGGUGGCCAUUUAUAAAAGGCCAUAUAACGGGGCGUGAAUAUUCAUUGAGUGUCAUAACGCUCAGUGAACAUCCGUCGCGUGUAAUGGAUAGUCGGUAAUGACGUCUCGUUAUGACAACGCAUUUGCAGUUAGUGUAGGUGCCUCCGGCGAAGGCGGCCAGGAACUGACAUUUCCGACUCGAGAGCCGGUGUAAGCUUUGAGGAAUGACGAGGGUGUAUUAUCUGCGUUUUGCAACACACCAGAGCUAUUAAAUGACGGGACCCCGCAGCGAGAGUGCAACCAUCGCGUCAGCAAUGAAUAUAUUAUGAAUGUAACUUGUCAUUAGUCAUGUUAAUAAAGCAAUUAUUUUUAUUGAUAGCCGGUAAUAACAUAAAUUAACCGCAUGUGUGAGAUAAUUGGAGCCUUAUAAAUAUGUAAAAACCCGGGGUUCCAGUGGUAUUAAUACGAACAUUAUGUUAAUAAGUAUAUUAAAAAAUAUGAAAUGUCUUCAGAUGAUAAUUUAUUGGCAUAAAUACCGAAACUGUAUAUUAAUGUAAUAAAAAUUUGAUAAUUUUAUUACGUAUACACGAUGUAUUUUAAUUGCAUUGUGUAAUGUAGCAGCGUAAAGCGCUGACAGGAUGAAAUUAACGUUUGACAUAUUUAACAUAUUUUAUUAGACGAAAUGUGUCCUUUACAACAAAAUUUAAUUUUUUUUAUUAAAUAGAUAUUUAAGUUUUUAAAAUUAUAUUGAAUAAUAAAGAGGAGAAAGUUCUAAAAGAACAAGCAGAAUAAAAGUGUUGUGUGUUGAUCGUACAAAAGUUCAUCGUACAAUAAAAUUAAACAUUUUAUAUUAUAUGCGAUAUUUCCGUUUGUAGAUAACUGUUUACUUCGAGUAAGUCAAUAUACGUAUACAUUGCGUAUGUCUACCAUCUGAUGGUAAAAUAAAAUGCAGAUACAGGAAUAGAAAUUAACAAUUUUUCAAAAAUGUCUAUAAUAAAGAUUUGUUCCUCUACAAAA